rnacentral:rRNA from 1 species
AUACGGAGGGUGCAAGCGUUAAUCGGAAUUACUGGGCGUAAAGCGUACGUAGGCGGUCCGUUAAGUUAGAUGUGAAAGCCCCGGGCUUAACCUGGGAACUGCAUUUAAAACUGGCGGACUAGAGUUGAGUAGAGGGGAGUGGAAUUUCAGGUGUAGCGGUGAAAUGCGUAGAGAUCUGAAGGAACACCAGUGGCGAAGGCGACUCCCUGGACUCGAACAGACGCUGAGGUACGAAAGCGUGGGUAGCAAACGGGAUUAGAAACCCCAGUAGUCC